AAUAUUGGACAAUGGGCGCAAGCCUGAUCCAGCCAUGCCGCGUGUGUGAAGAAGGCCUUAUGGUUGUAAAGCACUUUAAGCGAGGAGGAGGCUACUUUAGUUAAUACCCAGAGAUAGUGGACGUUACUCGCAGAAUAAGCACCGGCUAACUCUGUGCCAGCAGCCGCGGUAAUACAGAGGGUGCAAGCGUUAAUCGGAUUUACUGGGCGUAAAGCGCGCGUAGGCGGCUAAUUAAGUCAAAUGUGAAAUCCCCGAGCUUAACUUGGGAAUUGCAUUCGAUACUGGUUAGCUAGAGUGUGGGAGAGGAUGGUAGAAUUCCAGGUGUAGCGGUGAAAUGCGUAGAGAUCUGGAGGAAUACCGAUGGCGAAGGCAGCCAUCUGGCCUAACACUGACGCUGAGGUGCGAAAGCAUGGGGAGCAAACAGGA
rnacentral:rRNA from 1 species